rnacentral:rRNA from 1 species
ACUCCUACGGGAGGCAGCAGUGGGGAAUAUUGCACAAUGGAGGAAACUCUGAUGCAGCAACGCCGCGUGGAGGAUGACGCAUUUCGGUGUGUAAACUCCUUUUAUAUAGGAAGAUAAUGACGGUACUAUAUGAAUAAGCACCGGCUAACUCCGUGCCAGCAGCCGCGGUAAUACGGAGGGUGCAAGCGUUACUCGGAAUCACUGGGCGUAAAGCGCGCGCAGGCGGUCUUUUAAGUUGGAUGUGAAAGCCUACGGCUCAACCGUAGAACUGCAUCCAAAACUAUUAGACUAGAGUGCGGGAGAGGAAGAUGGAAUUAGUUGUGUAGGGGUAAAAUCCGUAGAGAUAACUAGGAAUACCAAAAGCGAAGGCAAUCUUCUGGAACACUACUGACGCUGAGGCGCGAAAGCGUGGGGAGCAAACAGGAUUAGAUACCCUGGUAGUCCACGCAGUAAACGAUGAAUGUUAGUCGUCGGGUAGCUAGUCUAUUCGGUGAUGCAGCUAACGCAUUAAACAUCCCGCCUGGGGAGUACGGUCGCAAGAUUAAAACUCAAAGGAAUAGACGGGGACCCGCACAAGUGGUGGAGCAUGUGGUUUAAUUCGAAGAUACGCGAAGAACCUUACCUAGCCUUGACAUAUAUUAGAAUCUUUCAGAGAUGAGAGAGUGCCUUCGGGAGCUUUUAUACAGGUGCUGCACGGCUGUCGUCAGCUCGUGUCGUGAGAUGUUGGGUUAAGUCCCGCAACGAGCGCAACCCUCGUCACUAGUUACUAACGGUUCGGCCGAGGACUCUAGUGAGACUGCCUUCGCAAGGAGGAGGAAGGUGAGGACGACGUCAAGUCAUCAUGGCCCUUACGGCUAGGGCAACACACGUGCUACAAUGGCCAGGACAGUGAGACGCGAUACCGCGAGGUGGAGCAAAUCUAUAAACCUGGUCUCAGUUUCGGAUUG